rnacentral:rRNA from 1 species
GACGGAAGAUGCAAGCGUUAUCCGGAAUGAUUGGGCGUAAAGCGUCCGCAGGUGGCAGUUCAAGUCUGCUGUCAAAGACCGGGGCUUAACUUCGGAAAGGCAGUGGAAACUGAACAGCUAGAGUAUGGUAGGGGCAGAGGGAAUUCCUGGUGUAGCGGUGAAAUGCGUAGAGAUCAGGAAGAACAUCGGUGGCGAAGGCGCUCUGCUGGACCAUAACUGACACUCAGGGACGAAAGCUAGGGGAGCGAAUGGG